CGUAAUGACUGAAGAAUUUUCUUAAACUAGUCUUGCUAAUAAGUAAAAAUGUCUUAACUUCAUCUUAUAGAAAAGUAAAAAUGUCUAGCAUGUUUCUUGUUUUCUUUUUUCUGAUCUUUUGCCCUUUCUGUUUCUAGGCUGCACAUUUUCUUGUGAAAGAGAUCUAAAAUAAUCACCUUUUGCUUUGUCUGCUGGUGCUUAAGGUCUAGAAAAAAGAAGAAUUACAUGAAGAUACGUGGAGACAACAACCUUUUGUAGCCAAGGGGAGAGGUUCAGAAGAAACAAAGCUUGCCGAUACCUUAAUCUUGGGGUCUAACAUCCAGAACAGUGAGAAAUAAAUGUUAUUUAAGCCACUCGGUCUGUGGUAUUGGUGACAACAGUCCAAGCAGACUAAUGCAAGCCCUGAUACAGACUUUAUGCAACUUAAUUCUCCUUUCUCACUCAUGAUUUUCUCCUCUAUAAUAAACUCUAAUUAUCAGUGAUGAAAA